UCAAUUCAUGUAUUCGUAGAUCAAUUCAAGUAUUAUUCACUCUCAGUCUUGCUCUCUCUCUCUCUCUCUCUCUAAACCCUUGAUUUCACUCUCUCUCGCUUCAAACCCCUUCGUUUCAAAGACAACCCUUCAUAUUUGUAGAACCGUAGCUGAACCCCUUCGUAUUUGCAGAUCGAUUCAAGUAUUCAUAGAUCGAUUCAAGCCUCUUCUCUAGUUCGUGUUCGCAUUCGCAGCUCUUUCUUCAUAAUAAAGAGGGUGGACUUAGCAUGGUCAGUUCUUCACCGAAGGCCACAUCAAAGGAGAUGGAAGGGAAUGCCUUGAUUGGGGUUGACAAGUUGCCUAAGAAGAUAUACAAGACUUUGGAUGAAUCUACCAAAAUCCUAAGAUUUAAAGUUCCAUUCUCCAUGUUUGCAUACCCUAUAUAUUUGGUGAGAAUCUGUCUAUUUAGUUGUUUAUGACACUAGCCUCUUUGUGUUUUUGUUUUCUCUGUUCUGUUCUCAUGUUCUGGAUAAACUGGUUUGGCGAAUUGUUUCACAAAAAUUCUCAGAAACUAAUUUCGCUAAAAAAUGAAAAUGAUGAGUAUUUUCAAACUUUCCAUUAUUUCUUCCAAAAACAAGAAAAACAAGAACCGGAAACAAAAACACAACCAAACAGGAUUUCUUGGGAGCUAGUUUUGCUGACUUGAUGGUGUUCCCUACAUGGUAAGUCAAAUACAUUCCAUUCUCAAAGUGUUCCUAGAAUUUCAUUUGAUAAAAAGAACGAAUUUCAAAUGCUCCAAAUACUUUAAUUCCAUUUGAUUCAAUCUUGUUGCACAUUUAUCACAGAUUGAUUGCAUUUGAAACAGUGCAUUUAUAGAAUUGUUGUUGUCGUCGUCGUCGUCGUCGUCUCUACGUCUGCUCGAGUUGAAUUUCAGAUCCUCUACUUUUGAAAAUAUAUAUGUACAUAUUUUAUCAUGGUAGCUAGUCAUGGAUUGACAUUGCCACAUUGACUUUUUCUCUUUUUCCAUUGAUGAUGGUGACAUAUAGAGCUAUAGUCAUACCAGAGAAAAAUGAUGGAAAUUUGAGUAACUCAAUUGUUAUCAUGCAUAUAU